UACAGAGGGGGCAAGCGUUGUUCGGAAUUACUGGGCGUAAAGGGCGCGUAGGCGGCCUGCUAAGUCGAACGUGAAAUCCCCGGGCUCAACCCGGGAACUGCGUCCGAUACUGGUUGGCUUGAAUCCGGGAGAGGGAUGCGGAAUUCCAGGUGUAGCGGUGAAAUGCGUAGAUAUCUGGAGGAACACCGGUGGCGAAGGCGGCAUCCUGGACCGGCAUUGACGCUGAGGCGCGAAAGCUAGGGGAGCAAACAGG
rnacentral:rRNA from 1 species